UAGAGCUAGGAACGCAGAGAAGAACCUGGAAAAAUCGAGAGAAAGAGGAAGAAAAAGAAAAAGGGGGAAAAAAAGAAAGAGGAAGAGGAAGAAGGAAGAUGUAGUGUCUAUUCUUCAAGUAUAGGUUUUCAAUUUCUCCUUCUACUCAAAAGGUAUUGAAUUGAGGAAAUUUAAAAAAAAAAAGGUUAAACUCUAACCUUAAGGGUCCCCCACCACUCCUGCCCUGGAGUAUCAUGAGGGAGGUAAAUCGCAGGUUAUGCCUCCAAGGAUAUAGGGUGGAAGGUUAUUUGUACACUUGCACUUACCUAAGAGCCAAAUCCAUAUUUCAGGAUUCGAACUCUUGACGCAGCAGCUUCAAGUAAAGCUGGAUUUCUCCACCCUCCCCUUUUACCACUUGGAGAUGUGCCUUGGGGCUUGAAUUGAGGAAACUUGGUUAUUGUUCAGAUGGUUUUAGUUUAUAUUUUAGAGGAAACUUUGUCAAAAUUUUGUUAAAAAUAUUUUUCAGUCAAGCAAGUCAAAGUUGCCUUGGUGGUGGGUCCAGCGUUUAGCUGUUAUCUACCAUCGGUGCACGACACGUGUAGAGUCCACUGAGAUGAUUCGAGAUGGGUCGUGUCAGUUACCGCCUUAAAAGAGUUGAUAAUCCGUUUUAAAUUUGUUAAAGCUUUAUGAGGUUGACAUGCAUAUUGACGAACUCGGAGAGAUGAUCGUUAAAAGAUGCAGGUCAGUACUAAUGCUUGUUCAAUUUUGCCAUUGUAUUCACGUUUUGUGGUUUAUAUCUCAGAAGUAAGGAUACAUUCCUCAGUCGCCUGUCGGUUCCUCCGACUCCUUCCCCCUCUACUUCAAUCAACAGUGGCACUAGCAUUAACUCAUUCUAAGGACCUUAUGUUUCUCAUGCCUGAAAUUGAAUAGACUGGAAUGAACAUGCUUAGGGCCAGAUAGAGGAAAUGAUAAUUGAAAAUGAAGUAUUGGAUCCAUCAGGAUUUUUGAUGAGUAGUUUAUUUACAACUGUGGUUAUUUUUUCUUCCUAUCUUGUCGUCACUCAAUGGUACUUAUGAAAGCAUUACUCCAGGCGUAUAUGUAUCUAUGUUGGAGAAAAGAAAACUUGGGAUUGAUCUCUCCAAAUUAUGUCCUGAAGAUCUUAGCAAGGCACUAGAUAUAAUAGCUGCUUCCCAUCGAGAGCUGAAAACGUGGAGCUUGACUUCAAUGCACGGGUUCAUAUAAACUUUGUGCUGUACACUUUUUGGGUAAUAUUCUCUUGGCAUAUUCAUAUCUCGGUGAAAUGCAGCAUGAAUCUACUUUGUGGAGGUUGAAAUUUUUUGUGAAGGAUGCAUUAGAAUAAGAGCUUGUAGUUCAAGCGAAGACGAUGAUGAUAAUGUCACCAACAAAAAUGCUGCUACUGCCAAAGAUAAGGACAAAAAAGAACUGUGAUGCUGCUGCCAAAGUUGUCAAGCGUCGGAAUAAGAAGCUCGUUUUCAGCAUUUCAAAAAGUAUAAAAGAAAGGCCUUAACACUAACCUGUAAGAAGAAAAUGAGGACCUUGCAAAUCCUAGUGUUCUGAUCAUUGAGAAGUUCGCUAGCUUUUGCUGAAAACUGACGGGACGACCUUUCACAUUGGAGAUCUAGCGGCUGUUUGGAGCAGCUUUUCCAAAAAAAAAAAAAAAAAAGGGAGCAAUUUUUUUUUACCCUUUUUGGUUUGUCGGGACCCACCCGGAGAGCUUUGGUCAACAAAGAUGACUGCAAAUGGGUGGCCAACGGUUAAAAAAAUAAAUUUUUUGCCCUAAAAAUUUCGUCCAAAUAGGGGCCUAGUAGGGAUCCAAAUGUUAUUAAGCCCCUGUUUUUUUGUAUUAAAAUCAGAUUUUUAGUAGAUUUUGAUAUAAGUUGAUAAAUGUGUGGUUGAAAAGUUGUAGAUUUCAUAAAAUAUAUGGUGAAAAUUAAUUAUCGACUUUGAUCGAAAGACUCAGAUAUCAAAUAACUUAGAUUUUGGAUUUUAAUUGCUACACCCUCAUGACAAGGGUAAUUCCCUCA